rnacentral:rRNA from 1 species
AACGAACGCUGGCGGCAUGCCUAACACAUGCAAGUCGAACGAAACCUCCGGGUCUUGUGGCGUCCGGCGGCGUAACGCGUGGGAACCUGCCCUCAUGUUUGGCAUACCUACCCGACUGGGGUGCUAUUACCGGAUCAUGUCUUCGGACCAAUGAUAUAUUGCACUUGGUUGGUCCGGCGUUGAAUUCGCUUGUUGGUACGGUAAAAGCCUAAUACGGCGCCGAUGCAUAGCUGGUCUGAGAGGAUGAUCAGCCACACUGGGAGUGAGACGCGGCCCAGACUCCUACGGGAGGCAGCAGUGGGGAAUAUUGGACAAUGGGCGAAGGCCUGAUGCAGCAAUGCCGCGUGAGUGAUGAUGGCAGUAGGGUUGUAAAGCUCUUGUACCCGGGAUGAUAAUGACAGUACCGGGAGAAUAAGCUCCGGCUAACUCCGUG